AUACGUAGGGAGCGAGCGUUGUCCGGAAUUACUGGGUGUAAAGGGAGCGUAGGCGGGAGUGCAAGUCAGAUGUGAAGUACAUGGGCUCAACCCAUGGGCUGCAUUUGAAACUGCAUUUCUUGAGUGAAGUAGAGGUAAGCGGAAUUCCUGGUGUAGCGGUGAAAUGCGUAGAUAUCAGGAGGAACACCGGUGGCGAAGGCGGCUUACUGGGCUUUUACUGACGCUGAGGCUCGAAAGCGUGGGGAGCAAACAGGAUUAGAUACCCUGGUAGUCCACGCUGUAAACGAUGAUUACUAGGUGUGGGGGGACUGACCCCUUCCGUGCCGCAGUUAACACAAUAAGUAAUCCACCUGGGGAGUACGGCCGCAAGGUUGAAACUCAAAUGAAUUGACGGG
rnacentral:rRNA from 1 species